rnacentral:rRNA from 1 species
UACAAAUAAUAAAAUAAAUAUUUUUUUAUUUAAUUAAUAUGAAGUUUUAUAAAAUAAUAUUUUAAUUUUAAAAGGUGAAAUUUUAUUUUAAAUUAAUUUUUAAUUAUAAAUUAAUAUGAAGUUAAAAAAAAUUUUAAAAAAACUA